GAAAUACUCCCUCCGUCCCAAAAUUCUUGUCUUAGAUUUGUCUAAAUACGGAUGUAUCAAGUCACGUUUUGGUAUCGUAUCUAGACUAAUCUAAGACAAGAAUUUUGGGACGGAGGGAGUAUAAG
rfam:Triticum aestivum genome assembly, contig: Triticum_aestivum_CS42_TGACv1_scaffold_622686_7DS